UACAGAGGUCCCAAGCGUUGUUCGGAUUCACUGGGCGUAAAGGGUGCGUAGGCGGUCGGAUAAGUCUGAUGUGAAAUCUUCGAGCUCAACUCGGAAACUGCAUCGGAAACUAUUCGGCUAGAGGAUUGGAGGGGAGACUGGAAUUCUCGGUGUAGCAGUGAAAUGCGUAGAUAUCGAGAGGAACACCAGUGGCGAAGGCGAGUCUCUGGGCAAUUCCUGACGCUGAGGCACGAAAGCUAGGGGAGCAAACAGG
rnacentral:rRNA from 1 species